rnacentral:rRNA from 1 species
CGCUAGCUACAGGCUUAACACAUGCAAGUCGAGGGGCAGCAUGGUCUUAGCUUGCUAAGGCCGAUGGCGACCGGCGCACGGGUGAGUAACACGUAUCCAACCUGCCGUCUACUCUUGGACAGCCUUCUGAAAGGAAGAUUAAUACAAGAUGGCAUCAUGAGUCCGCAUGUUCACAUGAUUAAAGGUAUUCCGGUAGACGAUGGGGAUGCGUUCCAUUAGAUAGUAGGCGGGGUAACGGCCCACCUAGUCUUCGAUGGAUAGGGGUUCUGAGAGGAAGGUCCCCCACAUUGGAACUGAGACACGGUCCAAACUCCUACGGGAGGCAGCAGUGAGGAAUAUUGGUCAAUGGGCGAGAGCCUGAACCAGCCAAGUAGCGUGAAGGAUGACUGCCCUAUGGGUUGUAAACUUCUUUUAUAAAGGAAUAAAGUCGGGUAUGGAUACCCGUUUGCAUGUACUUUAUGAAUAAGGAUCGGCUAACUCCGUGCCAGCAGCCGCGGUAAUACGGAGGAUCCGAGCGUUAUCCGGAUUUAUUGGGUUUAAAGGGAGCGUAGAUGGAUGUUUAAGUCAGUUGUGAAAGUUUGCGGCUCAACCGUAAAAUUGCAGUUGAUACUGGAUAUCUUGAGUGCAGUUGAGGCAGGCGGAAUUCGUGGUGUAGCGGUGAAAUGCUUAGAUAUCACGAAGAACUCCGAUUGCGAAGGCAGCCUGCUAAGCUGCAACUGACAUUGAGGCUCGAAAGUGUGGGUAUCAAACAGGAUUAGAUACCCUGGUAGUCCACACGGUAAACGAUGAAUACUCGCUGUUUGCGAUAUACGGCAAGCGGCCAAGCGAAAGCGUUAAGUAUUCCACCUGGGGAGUACGCCGGCAACGGUGAAACUCAAAGGAAUUGACGGGGGCCCGCACAAGCGGAGGAACAUGUGGUUUAAUUCGAUGAUACGCGAGGAACCUUACCCGGGCUUAAAUUGCAGAUGAAUUACGGUGAAAGCCGUAAGCCGCAAGGCAUCUGUGAAGGUGCUGCAUGGUUGUCGUCAGCUCGUGCCGUGAGGUGUCGGCUUAAGUGUCAUAACGAGCGCAACCCUUGUUGUCAGUUACUAACAGGUUCCGCUGAGGACUCUGACAAGACUGCCAUCGUAAGAUGUGAGGAAGGUGGGGAUGACGUCAAAUCAGCACGGCCCUUACGUCCGGGGCUACACACGUGUUACAAUGGGGGGUACAGAGGGCCGCUACCACGCGAGUGGAUGCCAAUCCCCAAAACCUCUCUCAGUUCGGACUGGAGUCUGCAACCCGACUCCACGAAGCUGGAUUCGCUAGUAAUCGCGCAUCAGCCACGGCGCGGUGAAUACGUUCCCGGGCCUUGCACACACCGCCCG